rnacentral:rRNA from 1 species
UGCCAGCCGCCGCGGUAAUACGGAGGGUGCAAGCGUUAAUCGGAAUUACUGGGCGUAAAGCGCGCGUAGGCGGUUUUUUAAGUCGGAUGUGAAAUCCCCGGGCUCAACCUGGGAACUGCACUCGAUACUGGAAAACUAGAGUACGGAAGAGGGAGGUAGAAUUCCACGUGUAGCGGUGAAAUGCGUAGAUAUGUGGAGGAAUACCAGUGGCGAAGGCGGCCUCCUGGACGAUGACUGACGCUCAGACCCGAAAGCGUGGGGAGCGAACAGGAUUAGAUA